UUCCGCAUAUAUUUAUAAAAAUCUAAUGAUGAAGAAAGAUGAACUGAUAGUUUAUUAUUGCUGAAAUAAAAUAAUUGAAGUAUUUAAAUAAUAAUUGAAAUUGUAUAUAUUAAGAUUAUAGUGAUAAUAAAAAAUCUAAGGAAGAAAUAUAAAAAACCGAACAAAACAAACAACAUAAAAUUACUAAAAGUUAUUCUAUGUUAUAUUUAAUUGCAAAUAAUCAUGGAUAUUAAGUUACCAAUUUUUCGUAAACAUUUUCAUCAUACUUUGGAAGUUUUUUCUGCCACUAUUAAUAUUGGUAAUUACUUUGGUUUUAAUAGAAUUUUUUCUUAAUAGAAUAGCAGCUGCUUCAUAAGUGAUGAAGUAUAUUUAUUGAUGAUUGAAUUGACUUGAAUUCUAUGCUUGAUUGCAGAUUUUUGGUUCUUUCUACAAUAAGAAGUAAAGAAAAAUUUUUAAUUGACCUUAUAUUAUGAUUUUAAGAAAAUCUUUUUCCUAUAUUUUUUUUUUAUUUCAUGGUUUUAGAUUAGAAUUAAUUUAGAUUAGAAUUAAUUUAUCAACAAGAAUUUUUAAUAAAUUAAAUGAUAUUAUAUUUUGAUAUCACUAGCAACUUAUAAUAUAUAUUUAUAUUAUAUUUAUAGUUACUUUAAAAAAUAUAUUUAUAUACAGAUAUAUAUAGGAUAUUGCAAAAAUGAUACAAAUUAAUUAAUGAUUCUUAAGAUUUUAUAUAAUUUAAAUAAAUUAUAAAAUAAUUAAUUAAUAUCAAUGAGAUCUUAUAUCAUUCAUGAUUAUUGACAUACAGGUAAUGAAAAUAUCUUUAAAAAAUUUUCAAAACUGACAAUCAAUUAUAUUAUAAACUUUUCUGACUAUGAAUAUAAUAUCUAUUGAUUAAAUUUUUUUUAUAAAGAUUAUAAUUAAAAAAUAAAGUAAAAAUUAAACAUAUUUAAUCCCUAUUAAAUUUAUAUUUAAUUAUUAUUUAUUGUCUAUGUUGAAUUAUUAUUCAAAAAUUUAUCAAAGAUGUCAAAGUAUAUAUAAAAAUAUAUACUAAAUGGAAUGUGAAUUAUAAAUUAAUUUAAGUAUAAAUUAAUUUAUUUAAUAAAUAAGAUCAUUUUAAUAUUUUUUUAAUAAAAUUUCUCUUAUUAAUUAAUACAUUUUUAUAUUUUUUUUUAUUUUUAAACAGAUAUUAAUAGUCUUAAGUUGAAAAUGAAUUAAUUUACAAAUUUUAUCUAAAUAACAAUGUUUUAUAGAUUUCUGUCAAUCAGAAAUUUCUUUCACAAAAUGUGCUAAUUUGAUAUUUAUUUCAUAGAAUGGUUCACAUUCCAAAAAAUAAUAUAUUGAACAAUAAUAAAUCUAAAUUAUUAAAAAUUCUUGCACAAAGAGAAAAAAAUUUUUAGACAAAUCACAUAAUACAUAAUAAUAUACAUAAGCUUACAUUUUCAAAAUCACAAUUCAAAAUCAAAGCUUAAAUAUUUAAAUAGAAGUGUUUAGUAUUAAAGUGUAAUAAUAUGAAAGAAAAAUUAAAAAAAUGUUAAAUUCUAUUCUCCUAUUAGAUUAUAAAUAUUAAUAAUUCUGUACUAAAAUAAAUAAUGAAUAUAUUAAUCCAAUAUUAUAUUAUUUUUCAAUAAUAUUUUGUCUGUAAUGAGUAUAGUGUUUAUAUGAGUAGUAUUAUAUAUAUUAUAAUAUAUAUUAUAGUGUGAUUCAAUAUUGAGUUAGUUAAUUCAAUGCCAAGAAAGGAUAUUGAAUAUAAAGAAAAGAUAUUCAGAAAAAAAUGACUUAGUGAUAUAUUUCAAAACUUGCUUUAAAUUUUCUAUGACUAAUUGAUUUUAUUAUUUUUUUAAUUUUUUUUUUAAUUUAUUUUACUUUAUACUUAAUUUUAUAUUUAAUACUUAUAUUUUAUACUUAAAUUUAUAUUUAAUGAAUUAUUUUCUAAUUAUUAAUUUAUCUUAUUAUUUAUUUUUUUUAUAUUAUUAGAAUUUUUAUAUUUUUUAUAUCUCAAUUUUGCAUUAUUCAUUUUGAACGAUAAAUAAAUUCGAUUUAUUCGUCCUAUACAAAUUAAUUAAACAAACAAUUAAUUUAUUCAAUAUUAUGUUAUGAUAUAAAUAUUUGUAGUCCAAUUUCAUGAGAGUUGUGAAUAGAUGGUAUUUUUUUAUAAUUAUAUGAUUUUUUUAUUUGUUUUUUUCGAUAGAAAUAAUCUAUUUUGUUGAUGAAAAAUUAGUAAGGAAAUUAUUAAAAAUUUCAUUCUUAUAUGGAAAAUGUAAUUAAAUUUUUUUGAUGUUCUUGUUUUAUUUUCUUUUCUAAAUUAAAUUAAGAUUGUUGUAGUGACAAGAAGUUCGCAGAAAAAAUUCAAGUAUAUGUAGGAUAUUUGUAAAAAAUAUAGAAUAUGGAUUUUAGAUUUUCAAAAUGAAAAAAGUUCAUAUACACACAUAUCCAAUAUUGUUUAAUUAAUAACUUAUAAAUAAUAUAAGUUUUAAGUAUUAGAUAGAAGGAAAUAGAAUGAGCAGUAAAAACUUAGCAGAGUGCAUACACUAUUGCAAUAUUAUUUGUGUUCUCUUAAUAAAAGUAAAUAUAUUUAUAUACAAUACAUUUAUAUAUAUUCUUUUAUACAUAAAUUACUAUUUUUGAAUUUCAAUGUACAUAAAUAUCAUGUAAUGCUGCAAUGUGUGUAAAUAUGUAAGUUUUUAUAUUUUGUUUAUAUUUACUAAAAAAAACUUUUAUUAUCCAAAUUGAAAUUUAAUAAAAUUUAUUUAAUAAAAACUUGUCGAAUAAGUUAUAGAAAAUUUUACAAUAUUUAGCAUUGUAUAAUGAUUACCUAACAUUUGAUUUGAAAUUAUAGAUAAAUCAUAUUAUAUUAUAUUUAUACUUAUAUAUUAUACUUAAUUUAUUCAAAUUAGGAUUAAAUGUAUUUUUAAUAUAUAUAAAAUUGCUUGUUUUUUUAAAAUUAUUUUCACAUGUAAGAAAAUUUGAAAUAUUAAUGAUAUUUGAAUCAAUUUCAGAUUAUUAAACAUAAGUGAAUGAACUUUUUCUUUAAUGAAUGAAAUUUUUAUUUCAUUUUUACUCAAUGUUUUUUAUUUUUAUUAAGAAAGAAGUAAUAGUUAAUCUGAAUAUUACAAUACAAAUACAAUAUUAAUAAUAGAAAUCAAUAUUACUAUCACAUAGCCAUAAAAAAUGUAUAUGUAUUUUAUGUAUGUUUAUGUUAUUUGAAUGGAUAUUAUAAAUUCAUCAAUUUCUUUUUUGCACUUUUAUUUUUGAUAUAUGCUAGUAAUAAAUGCAUCAAGAUAAAACAACACUGUCUCGACAAUGAAAAAGAUUGUUUAUUUAGAUUUUUAUAUUUUUAUAUUUAACAUAUAUAAAAAUAUAAAAUUCAAUUUCAUGUAUAGGUAUCUUAUUUUUUUUAUUAUUUAGUUUUUUUUUUUAAUAUUCAUAAUCAACAUUUAAUUAUUAGCAGCAUUAUUUCAAGUAUAUAUAUUCAUCAUACUACAAAAUCGGAAUUUGAUGAAAUGAUAUAUAUUUCAAUAUAUGUUUAAAAUAAAAUUUUAAUUCAGUAAUUUUUUAUAAUUAAAUAACAAUUAAAUUGUACGAUAAUAAAUAAUAGUCGAAAUAAUUUUAUUAAAAAAAAUUACUGUGAAUAAUGAAUAAAAAAAAAUAUCUAAUAUGCAAUACUUGAAAAAAAUAUGCAAUGCUAAUAUAGAUUUUUAGUGAAUAUAAAACAUCAUAUUAAUAUGAUAUGAUUAAAAUAUAAAUAUUAAAUUAAUAGUCAAAUUUUUUUUGUUUAAUCUCAUAUCGGAAUAGAAAAUGUUGAAAUAUUCAAAUAUAAAAUAUUGAAAUAUUCAAAUAAUGGUAGCAGAUAAUUUUACAACUGUUAUAUUGAUUUGGAAUUUAAAUUGAUUUAUCUAGUGAUUUUUUGUACAUGUUAGGAUAAACAAUAUAUAAAAUUUAUAUAUUUUCUAGAAAUUUUAUUAUAUAAAAAUUUAUUAUAUAAAAAAAUAUAUUUAAUCUUUUUAAUUAGAAAUCUUAUAUUAGAAUAUUUUAAUUUACUUUUAUAAAUUAUGAUAAGUAGGCAAAUUGAAUAUCAUACAAUUUAUGGAUUUAAAUAAAAUGUUUGCACAAUGAAUUAUGUAUUUAAAUAAAAAAUUAUAUAAUUGUAUAAUUGUCAAUACUGUAAAAUUUAAUGACAUUUGAGAUGAAUUUUUGUUAAUAAAUUAUAUAAUACGUUCAUUGUAUAUUACAUUAUACUGAAAUUCAUUAAUAAUUAUUUGUAUAUAAAAGAA